rnacentral:pre_miRNA from 17 species
AGAAAAGCCGAUUGGGAGUGAACCCUGGAGCGGGAUUUUGGGGGCGAGAUGAGAUGUUUAACAGGAACCAACUGGCCCGUAAAGUCCCGCUUUUGGAAGUCACGCAAUUCGUCUGCAAGUU